GACGAACGCUGGCGGCGUGCUUAACACAUGCAAGUCGAACGGAAAGGCCUGCUUUCCCUUGUGGAUUGCGGGUACUCGAGUGGCGAACGGGUGAGUAACACGUGAGUGAUCUGCCCCCAACUUGGGUAUAAGCCUGGGAAACUGGGUCUAAUUCCCGAUAGGACUGCAGGGUGGUGCCUGUGGUGGAAAACGAUUUUCUAGUGGUUGGGGAUGAGCUCGCGGCCUAUCAGCUUGUUGGUGGGGUAAUGGCCUACCAAGGCGGCGACGGGUAGCCGGCCUGGGAGGGUGGACGGCCACAUUGGGACUGAGAUACGGCCCAGACUCCUACGGGAGGCAGCAGUGGGGAAUAUUGCACAAUGGGCGGUAGCCUGAUGCAGCGACGCCGCGUGGGGGAUGACGGCCUUCGGGUUGUAAACUCCUUUCGACCGCGAGGAAGCCACCUGGUUGGAAGGGUGGUGACGGUAGUGGUAGAAGAAGCACCGGCUAACUACGUG
rnacentral:rRNA from 1 species